GAUGAACGCUGGCGGCGUGCCUAAUACAUGCAAGUCGAGCGAACAGACGAGGAGCUUGCUCCUCUGACGUUAGCGGCGGACGGGUGAGUAACACGUGGAUAACCUACCUAUAAGACUGGGAUAACUUCGGGAAACCGGAGCUAAUACCGGAUAAUAUUUUGAACCGCAUGGUUCAAUAGUGAAAGACGGUUUUGCUGUCACUUAUAGAUGGAUCCGCGCCGCAUUAGCUAGUUGGUAAGGUAACGGCUUACCAAGGCAACGAUGCGUAGCCGACCUGAGAGGGUGAUCGGCCACACUGGAACUGAGACACGGUCCAGACUCCUACGGGAGGCAGCAGUAGGGAAUCUUCCGCAAUGGGCGAAAGCCUGACGGAGCAACGCCGCGUGAGUGAUGAAGGUCUUCGGAUCGUAAAACGCUGUUAUUAGGGAAGAACAAAUGUGUAAGUAACUAUGCACGUCUUGACGGUACCUAAUCAGAAAGCCACGGCUAACUACGUG
rnacentral:rRNA from 1 species